rnacentral:rRNA from 1 species
UAACACCGGCAGCUCAAGUGGUAGCCAUGCUUAUUGGGUCUAAAGCGUCCGUAGCCGGCUGAGUAAGUUCCUUGGGAAAUUUGACCGCUUAACGGUUAAGCUAUCAGGGAAUACUGCUUGGCUUGGGACCGGGAGAGGUCAGAGGUACUCCAGGGGUAGGGGUGAAAUCUAUUAACCCUUGGGGGACCACCGGUAGCGAAGGCGUCUGACCAGACCGGGUCCGACGGUGAGGGACGAAGGCUGGGGUCGCGAACCGGAUUAGAUACCCGGGUAGUCCCAGCUGUAAACGAUGCGGGCCAGGUGUUGGCAUUACUGCGAGUGAUGUCAGUGCCAAAGGGAAGCCGUUAAGCCCGCCAUCUGGGGAGUACGGUCGCAAGGCUG